UUUUUUUUUUUUUUUUGGUGCUAAUUGUUCAUGUCCCUUGUUUGUCCUGAACAGUUCAACUGUUCUUCAGAAAAAUCCUUCAGAUACCACAAAUUUUUGUGUAUUUAAACCCUUUCCAACAAUUGAUUUUUGAGAUCCAUCUUUUGACACUGAGGACAACUGAGGGAUUCAUAUGAAACUAUUACAGAAGAUUCAAAUGCUCAUUCAUGCUUCAGAAGGAAACACAAUGCAUUAAGAGCCGGGGGUGAAAACUUUUUGAAUUUAAAGAGCAGGCUAAAUUUAACUUAUUUUGUCUUUUGGGAAACAUGUAAUUAUCUUGUGUAGCUUCUGAAGGGCAGUACUAAAUUAAAAAAAAUAUAUAUAUAUUUAGAGAAAAUAAGAAAAAAAAUGUACACAUGUUCAAAAGUUUACACCCCCUGCUCUUAAUGCAUCGUUUUUCCUUCUGGAGCAUCAGUGAGCGUUUGAACCUUCCGUAAUAGUUGCAUAUGAGUUCCUCAGUUGUCCUCAGCAUGAAAAUAUGGAUCUCAAAAUCAUACAGUCAUUGUUGGAAAGGGUAUAAAUACACAAAAAUGCUGAAAAACCAAAGAAUUUGUGGACCUGAAGGAUUUUUUUUUUGAAGAAGAGCAGGCAGUUUAACUGUUCAGAACAAACAAGGCACUCAUGAACAACAAUCACUACACACACACAAAAACACAGCUGUGGUUCAUUCAGGUAACAACAAAGUUUUAAAAAUCAAGUGCAUGUAAACUUUUGAAUGGGGUCAUUUUUAUAAAUUCAACUGUUAUUUUCUCUUAUGGACUAUAUGUAAACGUCUUUUAUGUGAAAUAUCUUAUUCAGGUCAGUACUAAAAAAAAAAUAACAUGCAAGAGGUCCCUCUUAUUCUGGUAAAAUAAUUAACAUUUUGCAGAUUCUGGGAGGUGUAUGUAAACUUUUGACCUCAGCUGUAAUAUUGUCAUCUGCAUAAAAAAAUAACUUAGCCAGAUGUAUUACUUCUAUAAACAUAGAAAAUUAAACUGGAGCUAAAAUAGACUCUUGCAUUACACCCUUUUUAACAGUAUAUGAUUGUUAUUUAAUUCAGAUGCGUCUCCACCCUUUAAUGGCAGGAGCGUAAUAGCCAGAGUGUGUGAAAUAACACAGGAGGUUAAACUUAAAUUAAAAACCAAAGCAGUAGGUUCUGAAAUGAUAUCUGCUAAUUUUUUUUUUUUCAAAAGUGCUUUUUAUUAUAUUAUAUUUAUCAAAUUAAGAUAAUAAUCUCAUUUAGAAUUUUGUCAUCUAUUUUAUGCAUUUGUUUAUUAAUGUUCUACAAUGUGUGCAGUCUAACUGACUAUUUGUUUUCUUUGCUUAUGCUUAUUAGUUAUGCAUGAUUCCUUUGUCUAAUAAAGGCUGAAAUGGAUUCAUUAAACCAAGGGUUGCUUCUGCCACUUAUCCUGAAUUUUCUUGAAAGGAGCAUGUUUAUCACUAAUAGCUAAGAAGGUGGAUUUAAAAUAUUCCCAGGCUGCUUCUACAUCACAUCAUCCGUAAUAUGUGAAUGACUGUUUCACACAUUGUGGAAAAAAUGUUGUUCAUUAAAAUGUCUAUAUAUAAAAUAAGGUCUACCCUCAUACAAGUUUAAAAUUUAUCAAAUAAGCUAUUUCACGGUGAUCACUGACAUUCAGAAACACAGAGAAACCAUGUUGUACAUUUGCUUGAAUAGCAUCGAGUAGAUUUAUGUUUUUCAUGUAACAGGGUUGGAGAAUUUAAAAAGUUCUUAAAGUUCAAAGCAGUUUGGUUUACUAAUGAGCUGAAUACAAGUGUACUUUGAUUUAGAUUUAAUAUGAACUGCAGUUCCUCUUUUUUGCAAAAUCUUUUCUAAGCACAUUAUAAUCCUGUAUAUGUAUCAUAUAAAAUGAUCAAAGAGAUGUUUUCCAAAACAUGUUUCAGAGAAAAUCAUGUUACUAGAGUCAACUGUCUCUGCCCAUAUUCGAACUGAGUCCAGUCUUAACAGUGAACAUAAGAUGAAAAUACUGUAAUCCAUUACUAGAUCCUGUGACACUGAAGUCUGAAGUAAUGACUGCUGAAUGUUAAGCUUUGUCAUCACAGUAAUACAUUACAUGAUGUUUUACAACAUAAAAAUACUUUAAUGUUUUGGCUGCAGAUGUGGUUCAUAUAGAUCAUGUUUUGACUGUGCAUUUAACUUCAAUCACCCAAAACUACAAUGGAACUAAAAACAUGUUUUUGUUUUAACUGCAUCUCCUUUGACAAAAGUACAAAAGUGCAGAGAGUCCCAAAACAAAAUCCAGUAAAGGAGACUGCUGGUUGAAAGUUGAAAGAGUUGUGAAUCAUUGAUCUUGUAGCAGUGAAUAAACUAACUAUUGAUCUUCUGCCCCCUAGAGUUUUGUCUCGCUGUGGUGCAGUUACAUGUGUCAAAGAUCAAGGCGGACAACUUAGGAAGAGCACAAAAACUUGUGAAGGAGGCUGCAGGACAAGGUGCAAAAGUUGUAGUGUUACCUGAAUGCUUCAACUCUUCUUAUGGAACUGUUUUUUGGAACUGAUGGAAAGCUGCUUGUCAAACAUAGGAAAGGGUGAAGUUGACAAAAGCUGGGUCAGAGGAGGCUUCUGUAUAUGCUGACAUAGGUGAGUUUGGUAACAGUUGCAUUUAGAUCAUUAAAAGUAAAAGCUGUGGAGGAUGUUUAAACAGCUGUGCACAAAAUGCUGUUCAGUAGGCUUCUAAUAUUAUGUGGUCAUGUUUUGGUUUAAUGUAUUUUUUAAUUACAUUCAUUUAUUGUACUACAGACAACAGCAGAAGACAUACAUGUUCAUGUAACCAAACAAGAUAAACAAACACUAAUGAAGCGUAAUCACAUCAAUUCAGCAUAUUAAAAUAGUAAUAACACUAAAAGCUCAAAAGCUUAAGUACUUCACUUAAGUGAUCAGUUGGGGUAACUGAAAGCAGUAGGUGUGGGUUACCACAGAGCAAAGACAUCUGUAUUAUUGACAGGAUGAAGUGCCUCAGAGUUUGUACUUAAAUAAAUCUUGUGUGUGGAAUACAGUCUUUCUUUCUUGGCUUAUGAAUAUAUUUGUAAUUAUAUUCAGUCUCAACAACACCCCUUAACAGAUAACAGAGAUAAUGACAUGAUAGUGGAAUGUAUGACUUAUACACUUACGCAUCUACAUUUGUUCCAGCCCGUUUAACCUGAGGUUAAACAGAUAAAGUUGUAAAAAUUGUUUUGAGUUCUUUCCAAACAACAUAGCAUGAUUGAUGUAGUUUAGACUCCUCUAGU